UACGUAGGGUCCAAGCGUUAUCCGGAAUCACUGGGCGUAAAGCGUGCGUAGGCGGACGUUUAAGUGUGAUGUUAAAUCGUGUGGCUCAACCAUAUCGAUGCAUCGCAUACUGGAUGUCUGGAGAAAGGCAGAGGCAAGUGGAAUUGGCAGUGUAGCGGUAAAAUGCGUAGAUAUUGCCAGAACACCAAUGGCGAAGGCGGCUUGCCAGAACGCGCUCGACGGUGAGGGAGUGCAAAGCUGGGGGAAGCAACCGG
rnacentral:rRNA from 1 species